UACGAAGGGGCUAGCGUUGUUCGGAUUUACUGGGCGUAAAGCGCACGUAGGCGGAUCGUUAAGUCGGGGGUGAAAUCCUGGAGCUCAACUCCAGAACUGCCUUCGAUACUGGCGAUCUGAGUCCGGAAGAGGUGGAGUGGAACUCCUAGUGUAGAGGUGGAAUUCGUAGAUAUUAGGAAGAACACCAGUGGCGAAGGCGACUCACUGGCCGGUACUGACGCUGAGGUGCGAAAGCGUGGGGAGCAAACAGGG
rnacentral:rRNA from 1 species